rnacentral:rRNA from 1 species
UACGUAGGGUGCGAGCGUUGUCCGGAAUUAUUGGGCGUAAAGAGCUCGUAGGCGGUUUGUCGCGUCGACUGUGAAAACCCGAGGCUUAACCUCGGGCCUGCAGUCGAUACGGGCAGACUAGAGUUCGGUAGGGGAGACUGGAAUUCCUGGUGUAGCGGUGAAAUGCGCAGAUAUCGUAAGGAAGACCAGUGGCGAAGGCGGGUCUCUGGACAGUUCCUGACGCUGAGGCACGAAGGUCAGGGGAGCAAACGGGG